GGAAUUGCCUUAUGAAAGGCUGGUAUUCUACUUAAAAUUGUUUUAUAAAAAUAAAAGCAGUAAUGCAGGCCAGCUCCAAUCAAACCUUUGAUGGUGACUCCUUCCCUGCCUGAGAAUGUGUGAUGAAUGGGCUAGAAACCCUUUGCACCAUGUUGAUUAUUUGUGCUUGUAGGGGAAAAAAAAAUCCCACACAGUGUGAUAGUGGGUGGGAGCAAGUUAACAUAUAUUAAUUAUUCUUUGAUGCCUCAUUUCAGUCCAAUUGUUUAACCCUGGAGGAUUCAGCACUAUUUUCAUAGGUUUUGGACACAAUCCAGCAUCUGUGUAAACACAUUUUUGCCUCAUGGUUCUCCUUCCAGCUCUGGCUUUUCAGACCUUGUACAUCAAAUUAAGAUUUUGUGGACACUUCCUGCAAUGGUUUUACUUCAUGCUAUUAUUUCAGAGGAAAGGAAAGAGAAUUAGAGACCCCACUCCCAAGACUGAAUUUGUCUUCCUUUCCAGCAAAAAUGUUUUCAAAAUCUACUCCCUCUAUCAGGUGGUCUUAAUUAUAUUUUGGAGAUAUUUAGAGGUGAAGUCCAUUAUAGUUGCAGAAAUGUAAGGUUUCAGCGAUAAGUGCAUUCUAGAAACAGUUUCAGAUCAUGUCCUGCAAAAAUCUAUUGAAUCCCAAAUAUUAUUGUUGAGACUGCAAUAAAUGACACUUUUGUAAUUAAUCACAGAUGUACACUCUGAAAGUGUCACCAAAAGGCAAAUAUCCCACUCUGAGGACCACACAUACCACAUAUUAGGACUGGACAUUUGCUCACACGCACAUAGCACCUGGUUCCAUUGGGAAUUCUUGCUUGGAAGCAUGACUGUACCUUCAGAAAAGAUAUCAGCUAAGGGUGCAGCUCAGCUCCUUGUGCAGUGCAAGCGUCCAACAGAAAAUUAAGGGACUUUUAGCGCAGUUUUCAAACUGGGCUGGUGGUGCAUUGCUGCCACACACCCCAGGGGCAUUCUUGCUCUGUGACUUGAUGUCUUCUGGGGCCAUGUGGUAUGGUCCUGUAUGGUGAACAGCAAAUUGGAAAUCAGAAAGAAUAAGGUAGCCUAAUGAGGUCAAGGCAGCUCUCGACCUCAACAGCAACCUUGAAUUGAGAACAGAGAGUCCAUGACAGGGAAGUUCUGGAAAAUCCUGAAGUACAAGGGCUCUUUAGGUACAUGGAAAGUUGAGCUGAAGGCAACUUGGACUGACUUCUUGUUCUAGAAAUUAUGGCCAGGCCUUGUUAUGGCUUUGCAGCUUAAUUCUAUAAGUAGCCCAGUGAAGCAGAGGAGUAGGAAUGAUUUCUAUUUUGAUGCAGAGUGUAAUUAAGGCAAAUAUCAUUGAUGCUUUCUCUUUCCAAAAUGUCUAAAGCAGUAACUGAUACUGGGAUUUGCAUUGAGUGCUUUCUACUGUCUCAUCUCUGUUCGUUUUCCUAAACCAUGUUGCUUUGUACAGAUUUAAUUACAUACAAAUAAAGUUCAGAAAAUGA
rnacentral:lncRNA from 1 species